rnacentral:lncRNA from 1 species
GCCAUACUCUAGGCACUUUAUCAUAGUCUUUAACUUGAUUAAAUCCUAGUUUUCUUUUAAUUUUUAGGAUCAGCUACACUGCCAGUUCAACAAAACGAGAAAACUAUAAUUUUCAGGCUGCUUAUCUUCAUGUGACUGUAAAUGAAGUGCAACACAUGAAUGUAUUCCCCCUCGAGAAAUUCAAUAAACUAUUUUGCCAUCGAGUGCAUUAAGAUUUCAUCAUACAGUGAAAUCAUUCCUCUGAUUCUUUCCAGACUAGUGUCACCAACUGACAGCUACUUGAGAAUGAACAAAAGACACAUAGUUACUGCAUGUUUCAAGACCUCCUGUCUCUACAGAGGUUCACUGAGGGAUUUAUAGCUUGAUGAAAAUCAAAGGACUCGGAGCCAAAUGAGAACAGGUCUCUCAUGUAAGUGAUCUCUCUUGACAAUCAGUGGUUUCAUUAAUGAGGAAGUUUUGU